AGUAUUAAAGGCAACGCCUGCCCAGUGAACCAUUAAACGGCCGCGGUAUCCUAACCGUGCAAAGGUAGCGUAAUCACUUGUCUAUUAAUUAUAGACCUGUAUGAAAGGCAAAAUGAGGGCCUAACUGUCUCUUAUGAUAAAUCAAUUAAACUGAUCUUCCAGUCCAAAAGCUGAAAUACCUACAUAAGACCAGAAGACCCUGUGAAGCUUAAACAAAACUACUAAACCUUAUAGUAAUUACUUUCGGUUGGGGCGACCUUGGAAACAAAAAGAACUUCCAAACCUAUGACCUACAAUCAUAUAAUCAGGCCUAUUAGCCAAAAUAAGACCCAGCACAGCUGAUAAAUAGACCAAGUUACUCCAGGGAUAACAGCGCUAUCUUCUUCAAGAGCCCAUAUCAAAAAGAAGGUUUACGACCUCGAUGUUGGAUCAGGACAUCCUAUUGGUGCAACCGCUAUUAAGGGUUCGUUUGUUCAACGAUUAAUAGUCCU
rnacentral:rRNA from 1 species